CGUUCAUCCUUCUGAUUGGACUCCUAUUUAAGUCAUUCAAUCAGACCGGUCCGAUCCAUUUCAGCCUUAAAGGCAGCCCUCUUUUAGGUUUCAGUUCUUUUUCCUCAAAUCCGGUCACAAAAAGAAAAGACUGCAGGUCCAGUCAUUUCGCAGCCCUGUCCACUCGCGCGCCGAAAAGAAUUAAAUGCUUGCUUGACACAUGGAGAGUCCUGGGGUUAUCCGUACAUACGGACCUGCACCAAGGGGUAGGCGGUCCUAUAGCGGAAAUGUCAUUUCGCGUGAAGGAGAAGAAAGAGGAUAAAAGGGAGGAAACACU
rnacentral:lncRNA from 1 species